rnacentral:ncRNA from 1 species
AUAAAGGCUGUGAAUAAGAGGAGUAUACAGUUAGCUGAUACCCAAAGAGAGAAGUGGUUGGUGAAAAGCUUCGGAUCGGGACUGUAGAAGGUAGCUUGGGAGCUCUGCACCGAAGUAACAGUAGGCUGCAGCGGGGUUGCGAACGUUAACUCGUCAGAGAUCAUCAAUAGAUUUAUAGGAUUUGACCUGUAACAUUUAUUCGUGAAUUUUGGUGGUACCGCGAAACAUGACUUCGUCCAAAUA